rnacentral:rRNA from 1 species
GUGGGGAAUAUUGGGCAAUGGGCGAAAGCCUGACCCAGCAACGCCGCGUGAAGGAAGAAGGUUUUCGGAUCGUAAACUUCUAUCCUUGGUGAAGAUAAUGACGGUAGCCAAGAAGGAAGCCCCGGCUAACUACGUGCCAGCAGCCGCGGUAAUACGUAGGGGGCAAGCGUUGUCCGGAAUGAUUGGGCGUAAAGGGCGCGUAGGCGGCCCGGUAAGUCUGACGUGAAAGUCCUGCUUUUAAGGUGGGAAUUGCUUUGGAUACUGUCGGGCUUGAGUGCAGGAGAGGUAAGCGGAAUUCCCGGUGUAGCGGUGAAAUGCGUAGAGAUCGGGAGGAACACCAGUGGCGAAGGCGGCUUACUGGACUGUAACUGACGCUGAGGCGCGAAAGUGUGGGGAGCAAACAGGAUUAGAAACCCGUGUAGUCC